CGCUGGCGGCAGGCUUAACACAUGCAAGUCGAACGCACCUUUCGGGGUGAGUGGCAGACGGGUGAGUAACGCGUGGGAAUCUACCCUUCUCUACGGGAUAGCUCCGGGAAACUGGAAUUAAUACCGUAUACGUCCGCAAGGAGAAAGAUUUAUCGGAGAGGGAUGAGCCCGCGUUGGAUUAGCUAGUUGGUGGGGUAAAGGCCUACCAAGGCGACGAUCCAUAGCUGGUCUGAGAGGAUGAUCAGCCACAUUGGGACUGAGACACGGCCCAAACUCCUACGGGAGGCAGCAGUGGGGAAUAUUGGACAAUGGGCGCAAGCCUGAUCCAGCCAUGCCGCGUGAGUGAUGAAGGUCUUAGGAUUGUAAAGCUCUUUCGCCGGUGAAGAUAAUGACUGUAGCCGGUAAAGAAGCCCCGGCUAACUUCGUGCCAGCAGCCGCGGUAAUACGAAGGGGGCUAGCGUUGUUCGGAAUUACUGGGCGUAAAGCGCACGUAGGCGGAUAUUUAAGUCAGGGGUGAAAUCCCGCAGCUCAACUGCGGAACUGCCU
rnacentral:rRNA from 1 species